GGAUAGCGUUGAAACGAGAGAUUACUUUCCGGCGAAAUCCGCAUGGUAUAAGCCGUGGAAGAGAACUCCGUGGAGCGAAUGUCAAGUUAGAAAACUGACGGCAG
rfam:Oribacterium sp. oral taxon 078 str. F0262 genomic scaffold Scfld5, whole genome shotgun sequence.